rnacentral:rRNA from 1 species
UGGGGAAUUUUGGACAAUGGGCGAAAGCCUGAUCCAGCAAUGCCGCGUGUGUGAAGAAGGCCUUCGGGUUGUAAAGCACUUUUGUCCGGAAAGAAAUCCUUGGCUCUAAUACAGUCGGGGGAUGACGGUACCGGAAGAAUAAGCACCGGCUAACUACGUGCCAGCAGCCGCGGUAAUACGUAGGGUGCAAGCGUUAAUCGGAAUUACUGGGCGUAAAGCGUGCGCAGGCGGUUUGCUAAGACCGAUGUGAAAUCCCCGGGCUCAACCUGGGAACUGCAUUGGUGACUGGCAGGCUAGAGUAUGGCAGAGGGGGGUAGAAUUCCACGUGUAGCAGUGAAAUGCGUAGAGAUGUGGAGGAAUACCGAUGGCGAAGGCAGCCCCCUGGGCCAAAUACUGACGCUCAUGCACGAAAGCGUGGGGAGCAAACAGGAUUAGAUACCCUGGUAGUCCACGCCCUAAACGAUGUCAACUAGUUGUUGGGGAUUCAUUUCCUUAGUAACGUAGCUAACGCGUGAAGUUGACCGCCUGGGGAGUACGGUCGCAAGAUUAAAACUCAAAGGAAUUGACGGGGUCAUAGCUGUUUCC